GACGAACGCUGGCGGCGCGCCUAACACAUGCAAGUCGAACGAGCGAGAGGGAGCUUGCUUUCUCGAGCGAGUGGCGAACGGGUGAGUAACGCGUGAGGAACCUGCCUCAAAGAGGGGGACAACAGUUGGAAACGACUGCUAAUACCGCAUAAGCCCACGGUGCCGCAUGGCACAGAGGGAAAAGGAGCAAUCCGCUUUGAGAUGGCCUCGCGUCCGAUUAGCUAGUUGGUGAGGUAAUGGCCCACCAAGGCGACGAUCGGUAGCCGGACUGAGAGGUUGAACGGCCACAUUGGGACUGAGACACGGCCCAGACUCCUACGGGAGGCAGCAGUGGGGAAUAUUGCACAAUGGGGGAAACCCUGUUGCAGCGACGCCGCGUGGAGGAAGAAGGUCUUCGGAUUGUAAACUCCUGUUGUUGGGGAAGAUAAUGACGGUACCCAACAAGGAAGUGACGGCUAACUACGUG
rnacentral:rRNA from 1 species